CGUCAGGAAGAGCCUAAAGAUUAGAUUAAAAAUAAAAGAAAAUAGAAGCCAUUUUCAAAGACCUACAGGUUUGGAAGACCUGGGUCUGAAACAGCUAGCCAUUUGGUUCUUUAAAGAUCCCUGAAUGAUGUGAGUUACUUGGGCGAGUGGGUCAGGACCCUGUUAUGAGGCAGGUGAUGGAAAAAAUCCAUUCACAAUAUUUUCUCUAGCAACAAGCCAGAUAUGGUGAUCAGGGGACUGUGAAGUUUACCAAAUGGGGGAUGUCAGUCAAAAGAAAACAUGGCAUAGAUUAUCAGUAUUCUGGCCAGGCCUCAGAGAUGUGGCAUAGCAGUAUGUGAAAAAGGGAUCUUGAGUUUAUGUGGAAGGGCAAGUAGACUAUGGUGAAUAUAUGGAUAAAAAUAAUGUGAGGUGGCAAGCAAUGACUAUCAUAGCUGAUAAUAUUAUACUUCUAAGAGACCAGGCAAAAGAGAAGGCGUGGAAUGGAUGAUUCUUCUUUGGCCAUCAUUUGGUACAGCCUCAUUUCCAAAUCAUAUAUAAUCUUUAUAGUUCCCAAUGACAAGAAUUAAAAUACUCUUAUACAUUAAAA
rnacentral:lncRNA from 10 species